AUUGAACGCUGGCGGCAGGCCUAACACAUGCAAGUCGAACGGUAACAGGAAACAGCUUGCUGUUUCGCUGACGAGUGGCGGACGGGUGAGUAAUGUCUGGGAAACUGCCUGAUGGAGGGGGAUAACUACUGGAAACGGUAGCUAAGACCGCAUAACGUCGCAAGACCAAAGAGGGGGACCCUCGGGCCUCUUGCCAUCGGGUGUGCCCAGAUGGGAUUAGCUUGUUGGUGGGGUAACGGCUCACCAAGGCGACGAUCCCUAGCUGGUCUGAGAGGAUGACCAGCCACACUGGAACUGAGACACGGUCCAGACUCCUACGGGAGGCAGCAGUGGGGAAUAUUGCACAAUGGGCGCAAGCCUGAUGCAGCCAUGCCGCGUGUAUGAAGAAGGCCUUCGGGUUGUAAAGUACUUUCAGCGGGGAGGAAGGGAGUAAAGUUAAUACCUUUGGUCAUUGACGUUACCCGCAGAAGAAGCACCGGCUAACUCCGUG
rnacentral:rRNA from 1 species